GCGUCUCACUCCCUGAGAAAAGCCAGUCAUCUCUGAAACACUGCCCUUGGCCCUUCUCGGAAGGAGGAGCAAGUAUGACACGGAAGCACAGGAAAUGGCCAAUGUCCAACCAUUUUUGACCUACCUAAAUGGCCAUUUCUCUGGUACAAUCUAAUAUUAAAGUUCCAUUAUCUGGCAAAAGGAAAAAGCUGUUCAGUCACUGGUUGGUGAUAUCUGAGGAGGGCGGACCCAGGACCAGUCCAAACUGGACAUCCAGGUCAGCUGUACCGGUGUGGACACUGCUGAGCAAGAAAGAGGUACUGCUGCGGUUAAGCCUCACCCUAGGAGGCUGGGAUCAUUCUCCCUCAAGAACCCAGGAGCCUGCGCAGGGAUGGUCAUCAGGGAGGCACCUCCCAGACGCCGGGCAGUUGAACCACGCUGGGCUAAGUUACAACAGCGACACCACGUGGCAACCGGAAAGCAAGGCAGUUGAACUGAUGGGACCCCACACUCUUCCUAUGGAAGAAAUUACCUGCUUUGGGGAUGUGUAGACCCCAUGUUCUAGCAUAAUUUGGAGGGAGUGAAGAGCCUCAAGGAGAAACAAUGGACUCCCUACUUCUAAGACGGAGUCUUGCUUUGUCACCAAGCUGAAGUGCAGUGGCACAAUCUCGACUCACUGAAACCUCCACCUCCCAGGUUCAAGUGAUUCUCUUGCCUCAGCCGCCCAUGUAACUGGGACUACAGCUCUUUAGAAAUGCAAUUAUAACCUUGACCUUCCCUUCACCGGAAGCUACCUAUAGGACAAGCUUAUCUGACUAUGCGCUCACUUAGAAGCUCCAGACCCAGGAGUUUGUCUCAAGAGACAACUGUCAAUUUCCAACCUCAAGUACACACACAACGGAACUCCAAUCCACCUGGAGAUUAUCUCAAGACAACGGCUACCUUAGAACCUAGUUUUGUGUCAGCUGGACCACCUGGUGGAUCGGUUUUGCUCACAGGCAGCAAAUGUGGGGCCACCAAUCCAUCCCCAGCUUCACUGGAGGCCAAAGGAAAUCAAGGCAGAAGAGUUUGGAGGCAUUAGUAUUGGUUCCUAGCAUCUGCGUUCGUUUCUGCUGGCAACACAAGCCUUAUUCAGCAUCGCAAAACACGUCAACCAAGCCAGUCUUGGACAGCAGAUGAACUGCUGAAGCCUGUAAGUGCACAUCAGUGGUUUGGCCAAAGUCCACCAGAGAGCAGAAGGAAGGAUGGAGACCCUGUGUUCAGUGAACAAUGUGAUGCUACCACCUUGGGAAGAUUUUUUGCAAAGAAUUCAAAGAAUAAUUUAGAUUAUUAGUGCUGGAAGAAACUUGAAGACCACUCCCUCCAAAGCCUCUUUUCACAGAUGAGGAAGCUGAGGUUUAGAGGUUGGAAGUGAUUUCCCCAGUGGCCCACCGUCUUCCAGUUCCCAGGCUCGAACCAGAACUGGCUUCAUAAGGCUUGCCUCCAACAGGCAGUGUCAUCAUGACCACGCCCCUACAGGCUCUGAGUUGUUUCUCCAGACCAGACCAGCAAGCUCAGAUCAGAACCGCAUUUUCUGCCGGGGCAUCACCCCCCAGCCACAGAGGCCUCUGGCAGUUGGGUUCUGCAUCAAUGGAGGACACGGUCCAAGUUGUGUUUGCCCAUCAAGGAGGAGCUCAGGUUCACCUGACCCAGCAGCUUCUGCGGUUGCUUGACAAACCCAGUGACCUAAGCCCAUUGCUAUCCACAGACGGCCCAGCCCUCAUCCUUGGGCUGACAGGGGACCUCAGCUUCUUUCUCCGGUGACUGAAUUCAGUGCUGUAGCUCCCUACCUUGCACAGCUGAGCAUGGAGCUACUUAUAGCUCUGUUAUCAUGUUCCUGUUUUAAUACAAACAAACAGCCGUAGCCCAGGAAAGAGAUUUAUUAGAGAGGCUGCUUGCCUUCUGCUCUGGCAAGAGACCUUCAUAGCACCAAGCACCUGGCUGCUCUGUGGGGUUUGAGUGAAACGAUGACUCUUCCUUUACCCCAUCCCCUCAGCCUCCUGCUUUCUUCCCUUCCUCCACCUCUGAGACCACCUAGAAAUUUCGAUGUAGAAAAGCCCAAUCUUGUAGAACAUCACGGCUGGGAAAACCUUAGGGAUGGUGAUCAUAACCAGUGAUCAGAAACACGACUGACGUAUCCACCCCUCUGCUCGUGAAAGGCUGGGCCGGUUAUUGAGUUAUUGCUUGUCAGCUCCAAAUCCCCCACAGUUAGAUGUUGGGGGACUCUGCAAGCCCCAUUUCUGCUUUGCCAACUGCUCCUCAAGAAGCUCUGCCAGGAGGGGGCAGAGGCCAGAGGAGGGAGAAGGACAGGGCCCUUCUGAUUUUUCUCCUACAUAGAAUAAUUUAGAUUAUGAGGGCUGGAAGAAACUUGAAGACCACCCUCUCCAGAGCCUCUUUCUACAGAUGAGGAAGCUGAGGCCUAGAGGUUGAAAAUGAUUUACCCAACAGCCUACAGUCUUCCAGGUCCAACGCUCGAACCAGAACUGGCUUAGGAGAAAAAAACAGACUCUUUCCUGUCUGUUUCCUGUUUCUAUGAGCAGCACUCUGGCACACUGCUUCACCCAGGCAGGAGUAGUUCCUUCCCUCAGCAGCGAAAGAACCAAGCUUGCAGUUUUACUGAUUCCUGCAGAGCCAGCCACAUGAUGCUCCCUCAGAGGCACCAGCUCCAGUCCCCUGGAGUCCCCUCCAUGGAGCUCUGAGGUUCACUUCUGAGGGGCUUCUCCUCUAAACUUCUAAAUUUUAAUAAUCUCAACUUCUACUCUUUGCUUCCCCAGGCUUAAGGGUGAUAGCUGCUUCCUGCAGUCACUGCCUUCCACGAUACCUGAGAGUUUGUUUUUCGCCUUUGCACGUAUCUAGACAACAAUUCUUCACAUAUUGAAUUCUACUAAAAUAGCUAGGAGGUUUGGCUGCCUGUGGUUGCUCACGCUUGUAAUCUUAUCACUUUGGGAGGCCAAGGUAGGUGGAUCACCUGAGGUCAGGAGUUUGAGAUCAGCCUGGCCAACAUGGAAACAGCAUCUCUACUAAAAAUACAAAAAUCAGCCAGGCAUGGUGGUGGGUGCCUGUAGUCCCAGCUUACUCAGGAGGCGGAAGCAGGAGAAUCAUUUGAACCUGGGAGGCAGAGGUUGCAGGGAGCCAAGAUCACACCACUGCACUCCAGCCUGGAUGACAAAGUGAGACUCUGUCUCAAAAUAAAAAAACCUCGAAGGUUUAAGGUGUUCAUCUCCUGACUCAAUUCUGACUGAUAUCUGAUAUGCUGGCAGAGCUGGGGUCCAAACCUGGGUCUUCUUUCUCCUGGUUCAGGACUCUUUGCACUGGAACCCAAUAAACAUUUGCUCAAUUA